GAUCUUUUGGUAAAAUUUUGCAACUAAAUAGUUUUUAGUGAUUCUUAGUCCCUGUUGGGAAUAAGGUAAACUGGUUUGUGGCUUUAUUUAUGAUUUUUCCUUAGCCUUUGACUCUGGGCAGGAAUCACUUAUUGGGGAACAUGCAUGAGUUAAAUACGGGAUUGCAGUUACAACAGAAAUUCAGGGUCAGUAAGAACCUUUUUUUAAUUUUGAGAGCUGAGAGAAUUUUUUUGGAAGGGGGGUUAAAUGGUAAUGUAUUAUGCCCGCCUACCCUCUUAAGAUCGUAGCUUAGUGAUUUAAUACCACUUUUGGAAGAGGUUGACACCUGCUCCCCUCCCCACCUUCCCAGCAAAGAAAGGUGAGCAGGCUCAUAUGCAAAUAAUAUGGCUUUAUGGUCAUAAAUUAGGGGUGGCGUUAAUAAACAACUUACCCUGCAGUUUAAGAAAUACCAGACUUAAACUUUGCUGAAACUCAAAUAAUUUUUGUUAGCAUUCCUCUAAUAUUUAUUUUGCUGAGUCCACAAUUCUAAAUUUUGAGCUGACUCAUUCUACCUUUCUCUAUAGAGUAAAAUGCUGGAUCCUGAUCACCCUUUUGUCUGCACUGCAGCAGAUGUGGAACUUCUUGAAGAGAUAACCACUGAACAAUUUGGUGUGGAGCUCUCCAGACCACAUGAUGUUCUGCACCUGGAUUUUAUCGCUUACUAUCAUCAUGGAGAGCUUUCCAUAUUAGCGAUAUGGAUCUCUCAUACCCUUUUUUAUGGUCACAAGGUUGAAAUUCUUAAGUGUUAUUCCAUUAGAGACUCUUAUGAGAUCAAUCAAAUACUCUUUCAGGGAAGUCUGUCUUGUAUUAUUUAGACCAUCUUUCCAGUAAGGAUUUAUAGUAACAUAAAGGAUGUUUGCCCACCUGCCUCCUCAUUGUUUAAGGAGUUUGAGUGUGAUGUCAGUUGAGACUGACCUCUAACCAAGAAGCCAUUUUUCCACUAGCACUAAGGCUAAUAUAAAUUUCUGAGCCAUGAUACCGAGAGGUGCCUUUUCCAGGUUUAGAGAUGAGGCCAUUCAGGAAGUAUCUCUAUAAACUAGCCAUAGAUUUAGAUUGAAGCACACUCUUGUCUACUGUUACCUAACAUGCAAUCUGGAAGAAUGAAAGUUAAGAAAGCAAAAAUACAUUUCAAAGGCACACUUACUCAUAUCAGCUCCACUG
rnacentral:lncRNA from 1 species